CCUACGGGCGGCAGCAGUGGGGAAUAUUGGGCAAUGGAGGAAACUCUGACCCAGCAACGCCGCGUGAAUGAUGAAGGUCUUCGGAUUGUAAAGUUCUUUUCUAAGGGAAGAAGAAAGUGACGGUACCUUAGUAAUAAGCCUCGGUUACCUACGUGCCAGCAGCCGCGGUAAUACGUAGGAGGCAAGCGUUAUCCGGAAUGACUGGGCGUAAAGGGUGCGUAGGUGGUUUGAUAAGUUGGUAGCGUAACUCCGAGGCUCAACCUCGGCACUACUACCAAAACUGUCGGACUUGAGUGCAGGAGGGGCAACUGGAAGUCCUAGUGUAGCGGUGGAAUGCGUAGAUAUUAGGAGGAACACCAGUGGCGAAGGCGAGUUGCUGGACUGUAACUGACACUGAGGCACGAAAGCGUGGGGAGCAAACAGGAUUAGAUACCCUUGUAGUC
rnacentral:rRNA from 1 species